AUGCCUCCCUCCCUGGCACUGCUCCUCACCCUCACCCCACUCCUCCUCCCGGCCGCAGUGGCCGCCGACGGCAACGUCCGGCGGCUGCUCCACGAGCCGCUCUUCCCCAUCGAGUGGACCCCGCCCCCGUCGCCGCCCGCUUCGGCUCCGCCCUCGCCGGGCUUCAGCUCCGACCCCUCCACGCCAGCCCCGCCCGACACGGUCGUCACCCCGGCGCCGCCGCAGCCGAGCACCGUCCCCGCCGUGGUCUCGUCCCCUGGAGGCCCCGCCCCGCGCGUCCACAGCAGCGGAGGCACCCCCAAGGCCGCCAUCGUCGUCGCCUCCGCCGCCGCGGCGGCCUUUCUCGCCCUUUUCGCCUUCGCCGCCGCGUUCCUCCUCACCGGCCGCGUUCCGCGCCACCCGGUGCAGCCACGCGUCCCCGAGCACCCCGGCGGCCAUGCCCACGUCCCGGGGUCAUCGGAGCCCAACGCGGCCGUAGCCGGCUCCUCCACGGCCUCCCACUACCGCAAGGCCCGGCACGAACGCGCGCGGCGGGGCAUUUGCCACGACGUCGACACCGUCCCGAGUCCGGAGCUCCGCCCGCUGCCGCCGCUGCGGCGGGAGUCUGCCGCGGCGGCGGGCUCGUCCGAGGAGGAGGCGCCGUAUUACACGCCGGGUCAGCACUCCGCGGGGUCCGGCUCCGGCGGCGCCGAGGCCCGCGGGACAUGGACCGAGGCAAGCGCGUCCAGCUCCAGCGCACGCACCACCACGCCCUCGCGCCGCAGCCUCCCCAGCCUCACCAGCGACUUCUUCCCCGCGACCCCGGCCGCCGCCGCCGCCUCCUCUACUUCCACCACCGCGCCCCCUCCCGCUCCUCCGCCACAACGGUCCCGCCGCACGCCGCCGGGCACCCGCUUCUCGGCGGGGACUGCCCACCCUCCACCACCGCAGCCCCAAACAUUCAACAACCCAAUAUCCAUGCGCCGGUCACUCAACCCGGUCCGAGCAGAGGAUCCCAGCACCGCCGUGCGUGCGGCGCCCGCCAUGGCAAUGAUGAAGGAAAAUGACGACGGGAGCAGCAGCAGCAUGCGGACGCAUGGCAAUGAUGGAGUCCGACCGAGGCUGAAGCCGCUGCACCGGGAAAAGGGCGUCCGCGGCGGGAGCUCCGAUGACCGCGACAUGGCCUGGGACGGGCUCAAGUCCAACUCCUUCCAGUCGGAUGAGGACAUGAUCGAGGUGUUCGCCAUGAACAGUGUGGCAGCUAGGGACGUAUCGAGGAAAGGUGGCAUGUCGACGAAGCUUAGGCGGGAGGAGAGGGUCCUCGACCCGGAGAAGGAACAGAGCAUUGCCAUCCUGAUGCGUGCGCUGAAUGUCACGCCUGAUGAGGUGUCGGAUGCACUUUUACACGGUAAUGGUGAAUGUUUGGGGGCAGAACUUUUGGAGACUUUAGUAAAGAUGGCUCCUACCAAAGAGGAAGAACUUAAACUGAGAGAUUUUACUGGGGAAUCAUCUAAACUUGGUUCGGUGGAGUGCUUUCUUAAAGCAGUUCUCGAUAUACCUUUCGCCUUCAAACGAAUUGAGGCAAUGCUAUACCGAGCAAAUUUUGAGAAUGAAAUAACGUACCUCAGAAAAUGUUUUCAAACAAUUGAGGCAGCUUGUGAUGACUUAAAAGGCAGCAGAUUGUUCCUAAAACUACUCGAAGCAGUGCUGAGAACCGGGAACCAAAUGAAUGUCGACACAAAUCGGCGCGAGACCGCCAAAGCUUCCAAACUUGACACCCUCCUUAAUCUAGCAGACGUCAAAGGCGCCGACGGUAAAACCACCCUGCUACACUCUGCCGUGCAAGAAAUCGCCAGGUCAGAAGACGAAAAAUCCGAUGAAAUCACAGAAAGUCACAUACAGUUCCGUAAGCAUGGCCUGAAGGUCGUGUCAGGGCUGAGCAGCGAGCUGGGAAACGUAAAAAAAGCAGCAACAAUGGAUUUCGACGUGCUGCAUGGCUAUGUCUCCAAGCUUGAAACCGGCGUCGGAAAGAUAACUUCGGUGAUUCUGCUCGAGAAUCAAUGCAGGAAGGGGGAGAGGUUUUUCACCGCGAUGCGUGGUUUUCUCAAGGAAGCUGAGCAGGGGAUCGGACAGGUGAGGGGUGAGGAGAGGAAGGCCAUGGAGAGAGUGAAGGAGAUCACUGGUUACUUCCACGGCAACACGGCGAGAGAGGAGGCGCAUCCUCUGAGGAUAUUCAUGGUGGCGAGGGACUUCGUCGCCAUUCUGGACCGUGUCUGCAGGGAGGUCGGCCAGCAGGACCGGGCGUUCCUUGGGUCCGCGAGGUCUUUCCGUAUCUCGGCAACCACCCCAACGCCAUUGUUGGGUAUGCAUGGCCAGCAAGGAGGAGACGGCAACUCCGACGAAGCUACGCUCCUCGGUGUAGGGGGUGGGGACUAG
rnacentral:rRNA from 1 species